rnacentral:rRNA from 1 species
UACAGAGGGGGCAAGCGUUGUUCGGAAUUACUGGGCGUAAAGGGCGCGUAGGCGGCCUGCUCAGUCGAACGUGAAAUCCCCGGGCUCAACCCGGGAACUGCGUCCGAUACUGGUUGGCUUGAAUCCGGGAGAGGGAUGUGGAAUUCCAGGUGUAGCGGUGAAAUGCGUAGAUAUCUGGAGGAACACCGGUGGCGAAGGCGGCCACCUGGACUGUACCUGACGCUCAAACGCGAAAGCUAGGGGAGCGAACGGG